CCGUCGCGUCUCCUGUCAGUAACUGUCCAAUGGACAGUGAAACUAAUGAUCCACCAAAUUCAGUAAUCUCAUAGGUGUUAGCUGUGAACUACAAUCAGAAAUCUGUUUGAAAUGAACUUGUAUAAGUUAGAGUUCCGCUACACUGUUUUGUCUUCUAUGCCCACAAUGGUCUAAAAAAGUUAGAGAAUGCAAUGUUUAAUUUCUGAACAUGAAUCAGGUUUCAAAAUAACACCAAAACAUUGAUUGGUUUUCCAAAACAAAGAGAGGGAUAUCAUUUAUUUGAAAGGUCCUGGACAGAUGCAAUAACUAUUAACAGUUCACUUUUUUUUUAACCUAUUUUUCUGUAAGGGUGCUGCUGACUUCCCGUAUGAGGGGGUUUUGGAGGUUGACCAGUGCACAGCAGAGCUGCACCAACACAUUUGCGGAGCAUCGGAGGUGUGCAGGUAUUUGGUCAAGUAUCUUGAAUUCCUUCACCCUUGCGUUGGCUCUCUCAAUGUGAAUACGAUUCUUGGCAAUCUGUUUUGUUGCCCUCACCUCACUCUCAUUAAAUUUUCCCUUAUUUAGAAAGGGGGGGAUAUUCACUGAAACACCCUCUGGCACAAUGUCUGAAAUCAAAAAGCCCUUGUCUGCUAAGACCAGGUCACCAGCUACCAGAUGGUGGAGUAUCCCUGACUGCUGUGUGAUUGCCUUGUCAGACACAGAGCCAGGGUACAGUGGGCUGCAGUAGUUGAUGACCCCAUUUGGGGCCACGGAUAUUAAUACUUUGAAGGAGUGCAUCCCUCUGUAGGUGGAGUAAGUGAGUUUCGCCUUGUCCAUCUCCUUUGGGGCUGCAAUGUGGACAUCUGUGCAAUCCACUACCAUCCUGCAGUUACUUGCAGAUGGCUGGAAUGAAGCAGGCAUGCUUUGGGCAUUCUUGUGCCGACUAGGAACUGUUGCCAUCAUUCCUCUGAAAAACAAUUUAUGUAGCACAUGUAUCAUUGUUUUCACAAUGUUGCCUACAGUGGCAGUGCUGCAGCAGAACAGCUGUGCCAGGUGCAGGUGAGGAUAGUUCUGCCGUAUUUUCAUGAGUGUCAGGAAGACCUGGUCUUCCAAACUCACACUUUCCGAAACGUUCCAGCCAGCAACAUAAAUAAUGGAGCCCUCAAAGCGCUUCACAAGCCCUGCCACCCGUCUGAACAUGGCCAUGUCCAGAAGCCCCGUCUCCAUUCGAAUGACGUCAUCAGGUAGGCCAUCAACGCUGUACUUGGGGGGUUGACGCUUCCCACUGACAGGCAUAGGCAGGGUGACAUCAUGCUCUGCUUCUUCCAAUGGAGUGAAUGUUGUGGAGCAUCCUGAGUCAAGACCAGGGGCAGCCAUUUUUGCAUAACUGUGGUCUGACUGUGUCAGACUUAAUAGAGGGACCAAGCCCGUCUUGCUCCACGGGAAAAGGCACGGGCCUUUGUCUUUCCCGUAAGGAAAAUGGCAACUGCAUAUUCUGGAGUUCCCGUCUGGCUCCCUGUCUGCUCGUCUGCAAUGAGAAAAUAUAGCUAUUAAAUUAAACUAUAGUAAUUAUAGUUAAUACUUAAUCCAUAGGUUUCUUAAUGCAAAUAAAGCAGAAUAUGUUUUUGUGCUGUGUUUGUGUUAAGUCAGUGGCAGCUGCACAGGGAGGGGUGCUUGACAGCCAGCAAUUUCGGUGCUGUGCUGCUGUCACGGCGCACUUCCGCCCCAUGCCCCACGCCCGCCCCUCCUUUUGUGCUGUGUUUCAGUGUUCAGUCAGUCUGAUCUGAUAUUUUAUGAUGCAAAUUACAGCACUUGGACUUUGGACUUUAAUGGCAGUGUUUAACAGAUGUUUGGAUAUAUGGGAUGUGGAAUUAGGGAGUGUAAACCUAAAAUGUGUUUGUUUAUCUAAUUCUUAUGUGUAAUGUUUUCUUGAACUCUUACACACAUUAAAAUGCAAUUAUGUAAAAAUUGAUUAAGUGAUAAAUAACACUGCUUAAAAGCAACCCUGUGCCACUGUUUACUUUCUGUGUUCCUGUGUGUUAUCUUUACCUGUGUGUUUUGACAGUCCUGCAGUGUAUUCAUGUGCGUUUGUUACUCUUCUUUUUGUUUUGUUUUAGAUUAGAACCAGGAGAAUGAGCUUUCAACACAAAGAAGGCAACCAGAGGAGACGUGUCCUUUAUCCACCAGUGAUUCAUCCAUCAUUAGGUCUGCGCUGUCCACCAGCAUGCAGAUUUGGACCAGGCAUGUGACCCCUUCUGUGAUCGUCCAACACAAAGAAGGCAACCAAAGGAGACGUGUCCUUUAUCCACCUGUGACUCAUCCAUCAGUAGGUCUGCGCAGUCCUCCAGCACGCAGUCCUCCAGCACGCAGAAGUUUUACCAGCAGACACCCCCUUCGAGGUCAGCAUCGGCCAGUGAAGAGUCCGUUGCUAUGUCCACCCACACAGUACACUACAGUUUUAAUAUAUUAACAAGUCAUAUUGCAAUUGUUCUGUUAUUUCAGACAUAGACUUUAAACCUACAUACACAAUCAAUACUAAGAAUGACACUACCCCUGAUCACUGUGUGUGAGUCUAGUCUAAAGUAUCUACUAUGAAGAAGGCUUAAUUUAAUCUUCUGUGAAUGACUGAGUGAAUGUUCUGAAGACAAACAUUGGUUUUAAAUUAAGACAGAAACGUAAUGUAAUUUUGAAACGUCAAAUGUCAAUUGAGUUUAUUGGUAAUUACAUAAAUGUUAAUGGCAUUGUAUUGAUUCGCAAGCAGGACACACAGGAACUGGGUUUGAUGGUGCUGAGGAAAAGGGGAAUAAAGAACACAUUAUAAACAUU